ACCUUGUUCCAUUUUGGUAGCCCAGAAAAAAAAAAAAAAAGAAAGUGAGGAGAAGGUAGAGAGAGAUCUUAUCUCACAGCCUCUGUUUCUCUUCUUUCUCCAAAACCGUCGCCUCGCUUCCCCUACGGUUUUACCGCCUCCCUCUCUGUCUGUCUGUCUCUCCCCUUUAUGGCCGCCGACCAACCUAGGGUUUGAAGUCUGAACCAACCUUUUACCUAAGCGUAAAAUUUGGAAAAAAGAAGUGAUGAUGCAUGCAAGGAGACUAAAGUUUAGAAAUCAGAGAUGGGUGCUUCAAAUGUCCAAAUAUUCAGCAACGCCUACCUACACUGUUCAUGGUUCUUCUCAAUCUUUGGGUCAUAAAACAAUUUCGGGAAACCACUGUUUUCAUGGUAGUUUUAUUAGAAGCCAUCUCGUAGAUUCAUUCUUGUUGCGUAAUGUUGCUCCUGGUUAUAGCUGCACUGGUUUGCAUGUAAGGUCUAAUCCGUGUUUGAAGGGUAGCCAGUUACGUGCCUACAGUUCUGAAGGUGACGGAAGGAAUGCAAAUGAGGAUAAUCAAACACCAGUGAAAGGUGAUGCGGACCUCGAUAAAGGGAAGUCUUCUCAAGAAAAAGCAAAGGAAGAUGGGAGGAGUGUGGAUGCACAUGCUCUGCUUGGGGAACAAGAUCAAAAGGAAUGGCUUACUAGUCAAAAGAUUACCAUUGAGAGUAAAAAGAAAGAGUCGCCUUUCUCAACUAAACGAGAGAAGUUCAAAAAUGAGUUUUUGAGGAGGAUUGUUCCGUGGGAGAAAAUAACCGUGUCAUGGGAUACAUUUCCUUACUACAUUCAUGAACCUACCAAAAACCUUUUGGUGGAAUGUGCUGCUUCCCAUUUGAAACAUAAAAAGUUUACUUCCACGUAUGGUUCUCGUUUGACAUCUUCAAAUGGAAGAAUUCUGCUUCAGAGUGCUCCAGGCACUGAACUUUAUCGUGAAAGAUUAGUUAGAGCACUUGCACAAGAUCUCAAAGUUCCCCUCUUGGUGCUAGACAGCAGUGUACUUGCUCCUUAUGAUUUUGGUGACGAUUGCGAAUCUGAAUCAGAUGAUGAUGAUAUGGAGGAGAGUACUUCUGAUUCAGAGAUUGAGGAUGAGAAUGUUGCGAGUAACGAAGAAGAUUGGACUAGUAGUAACGAGCCAAAAUCAGAUUCUAGUGAUAAAGAUGAAAGUGAUGCGCACGCAAGGGCUGAAGCAGCCCUCAAGAAGCUUGUUCCUGUUGAAGAAUUUACAAAGAUGGUAUCUGGGGAAACUGAGAGUUCGUCUGAAUCCUCAAAAUCAGAAACUGCCGAGUCUUCUGAGCAAUGCAAACGACUGCUAAAGAAAGGAGAUCGAGUGAAGUACAUCGGGCCUUCUAUACGUGUUGAAGCUGAUAACAGGGUCCUGUUGGGUAAGAUAUCUACAUCUGAUGGUCCAAGGAAUGCUUAUACCAUCUUCCGUAGCAGGCCUUUACCAAAGGGUCAACGAGGGGAGGUAUAUGAGGUGAGUGGAGAUCGAGUUGCUGUUCUUUUGGAUGUUAAACAGAAGACAGGAACUGAAGUGGAUGAAGAGGAGAAGGUAGCAGGGCAGCCUGCAGAUCCACCGGUUUAUUGGAUACUUGCUAAGGAAAUCGAGCAUAUUCCUGACCCACGGACUGAGGAUUGUUAUAUUGCAAUGGAGGCCCUAUGUGAGGUAUUGCAUGCCAAGCAACCUCUUAUUGUCUAUUUUCCAGACUCUUCUCAAUGGAUGUCUAGGGCAGUUCCCAAGUCAGAUCGCAAGGAGUUUGUCGCUAAGGUGAAAGCAGUUUUUGACGAGUUGUCGGGUCCUGUUGUUUUGAUUUGCGGGCAGAACAAAGUUGAAUCCGGGUCAAAGGAGAAAGAGAAAUUUACAAUGAUACUUCCAAAUUUUGGGCGUCUUGCAAAGCUGCCUCUCUCUCUUAAGCGUCUUACAGAGGGACUUAAAGGAACAAAGAAAUCAGAUGACAAUGAAAUAUAUAAGCUAUUCACAAAUGUUUUCUGCGUUUAUCCGCCAAAGGAGGAAGAGGAUCUUCGAACAUUCAAUAAACAGAUUGAAGAAGACAGAAGAAUUGUGAUAGCAAGGAGCAAUUUAAAUGAAUUACAUGAGGUUCUUGAGGAAAAUGAGCUCUCAUGCAAUGACUUAUUGCUAGUAGACACUGAUGGUGUAAUCUUGACAAAGCGAAAGGCUGAGAGAGUAGUUGGCUGGGCAAAAAACCAUUACUUGUCAUCAUGCCUUCUUCCUUCUGUUAAAGGUGAAAGAUUGCAUCUGCCUUGUGAAAGCCUUGAAAUAGCAAUUUCACGUUUGAAGGAGCAAGAAAGUUUGUCUCGGAAGCCCUCUCAAAAUUUGAAGAACCUAGCAAAGGAUGAAUAUGAGAGCAACUUUGUUUCAGCAGUAGUACCUCCUGGUGAAAUUGGUGUUAGGUUUGAUGAUGUCGGUGCUCUGGAGGACGUGAAGAGAGCGCUGAAUGAACUUGUCAUUCUUCCAAUGAGGAGACCGGAGCUUUUCUCUCAUGGAAACUUGUUGCGGCCUUGCAAAGGAAUAUUACUUUUUGGGCCUCCUGGAACUGGGAAGACCCUUCUUGCCAAGGCACUCGCAACAGAAGCUGGGACGAACUUUAUCAGCAUAACUGGUUCUACUCUAACAUCAAAGUGGUUUGGAGAUGCUGAAAAGCUGACCAAGGCUCUCUUCUCCUUUGCCAGCAAGCUUGCUCCCGUCAUAAUAUUUGUUGAUGAGGUUGAUAGUUUGCUUGGUGCUCGUGGUGGGUCUUUUGAGCAUGAGGCAACUAGAAGAAUGAGAAAUGAGUUCAUGGCAGCUUGGGAUGGAUUGAGGUCCAAAGACAGUCAAAGAAUCCUCAUUCUUGGCGCCACAAAUCGACCAUUUGACCUUGAUGAUGCUGUCAUUCGUCGGUUACCAAGAAGGAUAUAUGUUGAUUUACCUGAUGUUGAAAAUCGUAAGAAGAUAUUGAGUAUAUUUCUUGCUCAAGAGAAUCUAGCACUUGGUUUCCAAUUUGACAAACUUUCAGAAGCAACGGAGGGAUACUCUGGCAGCGAUUUGAAGAACCUCUGCAUUGCUGCUGCUUAUAGACCUGUCCAGGAGCUUUUAGAAGAAGAAAAGAAGUGUGCCAAUUGGUGGUGUUUGGUUACUCAUUGCGCAGGACAUAAAAAUUGACGCUUCUACGGUGUUAAGGCCGCUGACUCUUGAUGAUUUUAUUCAAUCAAAAGCCAAGGUUGGGCCAUCAGUUUCCUACGAUGCUUCAAGCAUGAACGAACUUAGGAAAUGGAAUGAACAAUACGGAGAAGGCGGAAGCAGAAGAAAAUCACCAUUUGGUUUUUGAAACUGAUCUUACAGUGUUCUUUAACAUAGUCUUCGUAGAGAAAGGAAACGCCCUGCUUUAAAGGCUUCCAUUCGUUGAGGGAGAAGGAAGAUGAAAAGCCGAAACGCAGACGCUUUUCGUUACUCAUUAUGCGUUCUUGGAGAACAAAGAAAGAAGAUAAGAGAGGCCCAAAUUUGGAGGCGGCUUUGGGUAACAGUAGGAGGCAAAACCCUCCGUUUUCCCAUCCCUUUUUGAGCGGAUGAGAGAAGUGAAAAGCCCCCAACAAAAUAAUUUACUAUCUUUAUCUUUAUAUACAAAAUUUUCCCAAUUUUUCAUGCCUUGUAAAAUAACAGCAUUGUUUUAGUAAUUUUAGAUUUUUCAGAUUAAAUUAA